UACGUAGGCAGCGAGCGUUGUUCGGAAUCACUGGGCGUAAAGCGCACGUAGGCGGACUCUUAAGUCGGUGGUGAAAUCCUGGAGCUCAACUCCAGAACUGCCUUCGAUACUGAGAGUCUCGAGUCCGAGAGAGGUGAGUGGAACUGCGAGUGUAGAGGUGAAAUUCGUAGAUAUUCGCAAGAACACCAGUGGCGAAGGCGGCUCACUGGCUCGGUACUGACGCUGAGGUGCGAAAGCGUGGGGAGCAAACAGG
rnacentral:rRNA from 1 species